rnacentral:lncRNA from 1 species
CCCUCCCCAUGGCUAAAGGGGAGGACGUGAGGCAGGGGCAACGCAGGGACCCCACCGGGGUCCGUCCUUCACCACAAAGGUCCUCAGUGUUUGGUCACCGCAGGGACACCCCCCCUCCCACCCCCCCAGGGCAGGACUGUACCCCCUCUGCUGCCCCUGGGGACGGGCAGGGCACACCCUGGGGACACGGAGAGGGAGGGGAUGUGAUGGGAAGGGGGGGGGCUAUGUACAGAGGGGCCCUGGGCUGCCUUAGCUCUUGGCAGCCUCGCGCUCUUUGCUGUCCGUGUCCUCGGGGUAGGCGUGCCAGGUCAGUCUCUCCUCAUAAAAGGCAAUGACAAUUUGGGGACAUUUCAGGUUGGCCUCCUUCGCCAGCACCAGGUCGGCCUCAUCCGUGUCCUUCCACUUCAUGAGGAACAUGAGGUCUCCGCAGGAGUCGGUGGCCCCGAUGAUCUUCUCGGGCUCCAGGCCCCGCUCAAAGCCCCGGGCGAUGUCGUUGCUCUCCCUCUUCUUCUUGGCCUUGAUAUCCUCAGCGUUGGCGGGCAGCCCUUUCCUUUUGCCACUCUCUGCCUUCUCCCGUGCUUUGUUGCCAUCCCCCUCCUUCAUCUUCUUGUACUUUUUCAUAAACUCCGAGAUAAGCUCUGGGCAGUCCAGGUUCUUCUCUGGCUCCCAGGUGUUGUGCUCCUCAGAGAAGCCUUUCCACUUGAGCAGAUACUCCACCUGCCCCUUCACCACGCGCCGGUCCAGCACUUUCUCCACCACAUACUCCUCCUCGUCUUCAGAGGACGAACUGUCUGCUGUCCUUUUGCUUUUCUUGCCCAUAGCGCAGCACCGGGCGCCCACGCACCGACGCGACCCAAGUCCUGCCCGGGGAACGGCACCGGAGCGGGUCCGUCCGCCGCGCUCUCACCGCCCUUCCGAGCCGCCGCCGCUCCACGCUCCGCCCGCC